AACGCGAAGAACCUUACCCAGACUUGACAUGCAGUGGACGCAGGUAGAAAUAUCUGUUCCCUUCGGGGCCGCUGCACAGGUGCUGCAUGGCUGUCGUCAGCUCGUGCCGUGAGGUGUUGGGUUAAGUCCCGCAACGAGCGCAACCCUUAUCAUUAGUUGCCAACAUUUAAGGUGGGAACUCUAAUGAGACUGCCUGGGUUAACCAGGAGGAAGGUGAGGAUGACGUCAAGUCCGCAUGGCCCUUAUGUCUGGGGCUACACACGUGCUACAAUGGUCGGUACAGAAGGCAGCGAAACCGCGAGGUGAAGCAAAUCCCAAAAGCCGAUCUCAGUUCAGAUUGUAGUCUGCAACUCGACUACAUGAAGACGGAAUUGCUAGUAAUGGCGGGUCAGCAACAUCGCCGUGAAUACGUUCCCGGGCCUUGUACACACCGGUACUA
rnacentral:rRNA from 1 species